GACGAACGCUGGCGGCGUGCUUAACACAUGCAAGUCGAACGGACAGGCCCUGCUUUUGUGGGGUGCUCGAGUGGCGAACGGGUGAGUAACACGCGAGUAACCUGCCCUUGACUUUGGGAUAACUUCAGGAAAAUGGGGCUAAUACCGGGUAGGAGCUCCUGCUGCACGGUGGGGGUUGGAAAGUUUCGGCGGUUGGGGAUAGACUCGCGGCUUAUCAGCUUGUUGGUGGGGUAGUGGCUUACCAAGGCUUUGACGGCUAGCCGGCAUGAGAGGGUGACCGGCCACAUUGGGACUGAGAUACGGCCCAGACUCCUACGGGACGCAGCAGGGGAGAAUAUUGCACAACGGGCGGAAGCCUGAUGCAGCAGCGCCGCGUGCGUGAUGACGGCCUUCGGGUUGUAAACCGCUUUCGCCUGUGACGAAGCGUGAGUGACGGUAAUGGGUAAAGAAGCACCGGCUAACUACGUG
rnacentral:rRNA from 1 species